GUGGGAAAUACUUUGAUGUCCGCCCAGUUCGCACGUGUGAACAGGGAUAAUGGGGACAAUGCCAACAUUGAAGCCCUCGGUUGGAGUCUGCACAGUUGGAGAUCUUUGGUGCCAUUUUAGACGUCUUUGGAUUUCAUCAAUCAAACUGACUGCAAUUUUCCAUAAAAACCCUGAAUUUGGGUCAGAAAGUGGGCAAAGUAGAUAAAGAUCAUUCGAGCUGUCUUAUAAGAUGAUAAAUAGAUAUCCUUUCAGGCCAACAAUG